CGCUGGGGAUCCUCGCAGGACCAGUCUAGGAGGUCGCUACCUCUGGUACCACUUGUUGCUGUUGGGGAAGAGGACCAGUUGUCUCUUCCCGGGCCUCAUUGAUGAGUCGCAGGUAAUCCCACUCCAGGUCACAUUCCUUGGCGACCAGAUACUGUAGGUCUGCCUCGAGAUCAACAGCGCUAGGGAGACCCAGCAUGUCUUCUCGGUCAUAACACAGGUCCCAAAAACGAG